rnacentral:misc_RNA from 1 species
ACCUUGACCUAUUUUCCUGCCAACUAGCCCCUACUGGCUUCAGCCAAAAGUAGAAAGUUUGAAUCAAAAGCCUACGGAAGAAAAUGGCAGCAAAUGCAUUGCUUAAGAACGGAAAAGUCAUUGCAAGGUCUUUUGCCCAAGCCUCAAGCAUCCGCAGUCUACAUAAUGACAAAGUCUAUGAGCUGAGGACUUACAGCAUUAAACCCAAGAAUUUCAAAGAGUUUUAUGACCUAUCUGUAGAACACAUGCAUUUAAGAACCAACCAUUCCAAGCUGGUAGGGUACUGGACUAGUGAAAUAGGAGGAAUCUUUGAUAUGGUUCACAUAUGGGAAUAUGAUAAUCUUCAGCAUCGGGCCAAGGUAAGACAAGCUAUGACAGGUGAUCAGGAAUGGUCGUCAAAAUACAUCUCCAAAGUCUUUCCCAUGAUGGAACGUUUGGAGAAUGUCCUCCUCAAGCUGGACAGCAAGAGCAGCCUAGAGCAGACAAACACAGGGGGUGGGCACAAUCUUGUUUUUUACAUAUUGAAUAUUAUUUGCCAUGUCAGACUAAAAAUCUUCUUCAAUCUGCAUUUUUCAAGAUUGACAUCUAUUCUGAUGCUUCCAAUAUUGAUUCCAUUGAUCUCUAGAAGCAAUAAAACUAAUAUAUAUUUUAUGUUAUUGUUUAUAUUUAUAAAGAUUUGUGUUGGCUUUUUUUUCUUAAACUAGAUACAUGUACAAUGUACUUGUCUUUCAUCUGUUUUACUUGAGAAGACAUGUGUUGAAAAUGUUGAAAUUGCAUUUUAGAGCCAUAUUAUUAUUUGUAUGUUUUAGGUGUCUAUGAAAUCUGUUGCACUGAAAAACCGUUAAAAGAACUUCCUAAUACCAAGGGGGAUGGUCAAUUGCUGGGAACCUUCUCAACUCUCAUUGGAUCCCUCAAUACAUCAUACCAACUUUGGUACCACAAAUCCCUGGAUGCAUUAGUUUCCAGUGCUGAUUUAGGAACAUAUGGUACGCAUAGCACCAAAAGCAGACUCCUCUUGCCCACACCCUGGUCCCCAAUGAAGUAGCUUAGAAGUGUACUGCCACCCUCACAAUGGAUUCAGCUCAUUUAAUCAAUGUCAUGAUAGGUAGGGAGAAUGUGGACUUAAACUUGAUGCUAAGUGCAUGUAUAUACCCAUUCUGAAACCAGUUUAAACAGUGGUUGUUAUAUAUAUACAUUUAUUGUUAGUAGUCAGAUCUAUGGUAGUACACAUGUACCCAUUAUUAUGUACAUGUUAUAUGUAAAAAGUAUAUUCAUCUUCUGAAACUAUUGCAUACGGACUGUGAACCAACAGGUUAAACUUUCUUUGUUCUCCUGAACAAUUUAUACUUAUUUCCAUGGGACAUAUAUUUCAAACUUUCGUGAAGGAAAUUUCAGCAAUCUGACAUGUUUAUGCAAACAAGUGCUCAUGAACAAUGGCAUUUGGCAUGUUUGCAUUGAAAACAUUCCACCAAAAUUGAUAGCUUUGCAUUUUCAUUUGUGGAUAAAAAUACCAUUAAUAAAAUAUUUAUGAAACCAAAGAGAGUUCAGCAAGUUGGCCCAUUGUCAGCAAGCACUUGAUGUGGGUUUUUGAUACCGGUUCAUGUAUAAUUUUUAUGCUCUAUACAUGUAUUGCCAGCAGUUUUUAUUUAGUUUUACCCAACUUGUUUUCUAGAUCGUGUUCAAUUAUAAGUGUGUUCACUAGAGAUAAAUUAGAAUAAAUUUAUGUACAAAUCACUAUCUAAAUCCAAGGUAUGCUAAAACCAAACUAGUCAGUCAUUUUUUUCUUCAUUUCUCUAAUUUCAAUUGUGUGUAUUUUACAGAUCAGCAUUCAGCAGUUCAUAAACCAAAGUUUUUUGUUACUUUUUCUUCGUAUUAUGUACAUGUAUGGUGCUAGUUACAUUUAGUAUUCAAAUGUUAAGACAUGUUAAAGAAAUAAAUAUUUUAUGCUGAU